GAAGGUUCUAAAAAGAGAAGAGAGAGGAUUUGAUUUCCAUUUUAAAAGAGCAAUCUCGUUGCUAUGUGGCAAGUGAGGACUGCAGUGGGGAGACAAUGAAUUCAGGAAAACCAGACAAGAGGCUAUUUUUGUAAUUCAGGUGAAUGAUGAUGAAGGGUGACCUGUAACUAAACUAGGAACAGUCUAGGUGGUGAGAAAGACACAGAUGCAGGAUAUAUUUUGGAGCAUCUUUCAAGAACUGAAAACAAUUUAACAACGUUAUCACAAACGUGGACAUUUAUUUCAUCAAAUAUGAGAGGUGACUUCCACCAUUGGGGCAAACGGACCUGGAAAUGCCGAGAUGUCCCAGGAAGUCUGGAGCUGAUGGAGCCCGCUUCCAUCUCACCAAGACCUUAAAUACAAUACACAGUCCCCGCUGCAAAUCCAUUCCCAUCCGUGCUUUGAGACGGAAGGAGGGAAAUUGCAACUAUUUACAGCAACCGCCAUCUGAGCAAGGACUGAGUCAUGCAGUACCUCGGGAAAGCUAGGUUGGAAACCCUUGUCAACAUGCAGUCAAGUCUAUGGUUAGAACUGGCCAGAGUGCGCCCUGCAUCUGCGGGAGGGUCCCGGGGCCGUCUCGAAUUUGUUUUUUUUUUGUUUGUUUGUUUGUCUGUUGUUUUUUUUAGCCCUCUCUCUAAGGGCUAAGGAUUCCAUCGAGGUAAGGAAUGGGCGGGAAUGAGUCCUCAGCUGGCGCGCCGGGGGAGCGCGGCUGGGAGCAGCGGGGCCACAGCUCGGCGGUGUGGAUCCUCCCCCUGCCCGCCCAGAGCCGACCCGGGGCUGGAAGUCCGGGGCAGCCUGCGAGGCUGCAGUGUGGCACGCACCAGCUCCCGGCGGCGUCCUCUCCCCCGCCGCGCGCAGUAAUGGAUCUCUGCGUCCUAAAAGAGGAAGAUAAUGCCGGGGUUAGCUUAUAAAUAGAUGGUUGCAUGCUCUCCCUGCGAAGCAUUGAUUGAGGCCGCUAAGCUGACUAUUGAUCUAAUUUUAACUUACAUGUUCGCACGCACCCUUCCCGCCUCCCUGUCGCGGCUUGGCGGAGCGCGGGGCACGCUGUCUCUCGCGGCCGCCAGAGGGCGGGCCACUAGUCCUCCCGCCACCCUGCCCGUCUGGCCUCUCUGUUUACGCAGACGUACAAUGCUGGCCUUUAUUGGGUUUGAAAAAAUAGGAGUUUGAUUUUCCUGCACCGGGAUGACCUCAUCAUUCAUGAAAGUCGGAGGAAAGCGGGGAAUCGGAUGACAGGCAGCCGGGAAAAUAAAGCUUGCAUUUCACCUCCGCCUACUUCACCACCUACACAGAGCACUCGGGAUGUGCUCCUCAUUUUAAAACCACCUUGCUGAAGCGGGGAAGUGGGGGAGGCACUAGGAGUGGAAUGUUAAAUUCUUCUUGGUACUCUGGCACUCGGUGUGCAGCGGCUUCUGUUUAGAAGGUUAAUGUCACCUACUCUCUGCCUACAGAGCCUCUUGUAAGGGCGCUCUCCUGAACUGUCACUAAAUGCCAGUGCAACAAUUUUAUUGUUGACUUGACUAACAUAUUACUAAUUAUUUCUAGGCAGAAUUCAUCUUGCCAAAGUUUAAGCAAUGGUCAUCAGCAAUUUUAUACUGCUGGCUUGUAAAUUUCGAAUCCGCUUAUGGCUUCAAAUGAGUAAGGUAGAGAAUUAGAAUCUAUCAUAGUUUUGCUUGCCGCCUUUUGGGACCACAGCACAUCAGGAUGGGGGUAUAGGGUAAAGUAAAUGAGACGGAAAGGGAGACAGAAGACAAAGAAAGAUGCCUCCCCUGAAAUUCCCCAGCCCUAGAACUCAGCACGUGAACAAACUUUCCUCUGGGAUUGAGUGAAACCUAUUAAUAGGAGUCAAUGUUUAUCAGACACUUGCUGUGUCCCAGACAUUGUACUAACUGUUUUAUAUUUGUUACUUCAUUAAAUUCUGAAGACAACCUA
ensembl:lncRNA